UUUCAAUGUAAUAAUUUGCAUUGUAUUGUAUUUUCUUGUGAGAAUAUACAUGAUGGUGUAUAGGCUACCCAAAAUAUACCCAAAACCUAUCCAAAUCCAUUUAGAAGUACAUUAUCACAUUAUCAUGAAUGUUUUUGUGGUUUUGUACUUAUUUGAAGUGAAGCCUGUCCUGAUGUUUGUUCCAGUGGUCUCAGUCUUUCAUAAAAUAAAAUAAAAAUUAAAAAAAUUUAAAAAAUGUCAACACCAGAGCCCCGUUAGCCAGAACAAUUACAAAUGCCACACAUGUAAUGUGCUGUUACCACCUCCUACAACGUGGAUGAGGGGUUGGAUUUUAGGAGGCAAAGAGAAAAUGAACCACACACAAAAAAUGACUAUUUACAAAUAUGUAUAUAAAAAAAUACAUAAAAAAAUGUUUUAAAAAAAAUCAGACACGCUUGUGCCAAAAUCUGAAGCAACACCGCCCUGGGAUAAUGCACAGGGGCACGUCACAAGCCUCACAUAGCCAUAUAGUGGAUGACUUGCAGAUUCGGCACUUCCUCCUCCCCUUGGUGGCUUUCAGGUGUGGAUCAUUGGAGAGUCCGCAGGCUUCCAAUGGGACGUGGUCCGUGGAUGCCUCGUUGGAUGCCAGCUCCUUCCCAACUUUACCCAGCUGCUCACACAGUGCAAUCCUGAAUUUCUUCUGGGUGAGGGGUUUCUGGUUCUUCAUCUCUGCCAUCUCCUUGUGGAUGAGGAAACUGUUCACCACCGCAUUAUCUACAAAGUGUAGAAAGAACUUCAGGUACCAGCGGCUUGUUUUCCUGGUAACAGAGAAAUAUUUGAUGAGAGCAUCAGAGAGGUCCACCCCCCCCAUGCUCUUGUUGUACUGCUUGACUGCAUCAGGCACAGGAAACUCCCUCCUGGACCAGGUACCAUCGGGGUUGCGGACACGGCGCUGCACACUCUGCCCACUGUUCGCUUUGUGUAUUGUGGAACACAUGGUAACGUCACGUGUGUCCUUCCACUUUACAUAAAGC
ensembl:lncRNA